rnacentral:rRNA from 1 species
GUAGUCCACGCCGUAAACGAUGUCGACUUGGAGGUUGUGCCCUUGAGGCGUGGCUUCCGGAGCUAACGCGUUAAGUCGACCGCCUGGGGAGUACGGCCGCAAGGUUAAAACUCAAAUGAAUUGACGGGGGCCCGCACAAGCGGUGGAGCAUGUGGUUUAAUUCGAUGCAACGCGAAGAACCUUACCUGGUCUUGACAUCCACGGAAGUUUUCAGAGAUGAGAAUGUGCCUUCGGGAACCGUGAGACAGGUGCUGCAUGGCUGUCGUCAGCUCGUGUUGUGAAAUGUUGGGUUAAGUCCCGCAACGAGCGCAACCCUUAUCCUUUGUUGCCAGCGGUCCGGCCGGGAACUCAAAGGAGACUGCCAGUGAUAAACUGGAGGAAGGUGGGGAUGACGUCAAGUCAUCAUGGCCCUUACGACCAGGGCUACACACGUGCUACAAUGGCGCAUACAAAGAGAAGCGACCUCGCGAGAGCAAGCGGACCUCAUAAAGUGCGUCGUAGUCCGGAUUGGAGUCUGCAACUCGACUCCAUGAAGUCGGAAUCGCUAGUAAUCGUGGAUCAGAAUGCCACGGUGAAUACGUUCCCGGGCCUUGUACACACCGCCCGUCACACCAUGGGAGUGGGUUGCAAAAGAAGUAGGUAGCUUAACCUUCGGGAGGGCGCUUACCACUUUGUGAUUCAUGACUGGGGUGAAGUCGUAACAAGGUAACCGUAGGGGAACCUGCGGUUGGAUCACCUCCUUACCUUAAAGAAGC